UUUCAGUGGGUGUCAGGUCCUUUAUCUUGAACGUCUGGAUUUCAGAAGUGUAAAACUAAGUCUCCGGAGGUUUCUUUCUUUCUUCCUCUCUUUUUUUUUUUUUUUUUUUUGAGACAGGGUUUCACUACGUAGCCCUGUCUAUCCUCAAACUUGCAGAGAUUGGCCUGCCUCUGCCUCCCAAAUACUAGAAUUAAAGGUAUAGAUCACCGUGCCUAGCCUAAGUUCUAUAUUUUUAAAAUAUAAAUCUAAACAUGCAUACUCGAUUAUAUUAUAUUCAAUAUAAAAUAUACUCAAUACAUUAUAUUCACGCACACCUUAGAACAUGAUUUAUUUUUAAUUAUUUGUUUGUCUCUAUGGGUAUGUACACAUUAGUUUAAGUGUCUGUGGAGGUCAGAGGUAUCAGAUCCCAGAUCCUCUGAGCUGGAGUUAUAUGUAGUUUUGGGCCACCUAACAUGGGAGCUGGGCACUGAAUUCAGGUCUUCUGCAAGAACAAACAGUACAUGCUUUUAGCAUCUCUUUAGACCGUUAAGCAUACUUUUAUAGUAAUAAAAAGAUGAAUGAGGCACAAGGAUAGCCAAAAGUCUGAGCAUGAAGAGUGAGAUUUUGUCCUUGCUGUGAUUCCCCAUGCCUUUAGCUUUGUUUACCGCCACCACUAGUCCUCUGCCCUGAAUUCCACUCCCAAUUCUUCUCCCCUCUUCAUACCAUACCAGAUUGCCCGGCUCACUCUGUCUGUCUGUCUGUCUGUCUGUCUGUCUGUGGGGUCUCUGUCUCUCUCUCUGUCUCUCUCUCUGUCUCUCUGUCUCUCUCUCUGUCUCUCUGUCUCCCUCUCUGUCUCCCUCUCUGUCUCUCUGUCUCUCUGUCUCUCUCUGUCUCUCUGUCUCUGUCUCUCUGUCUCUGUCUCUCUCUAUCUCUCUCUAUCUCUCUGUCUCUGUCUCUCUGUCUCUGUCUCUCUCUGUCUCUCUGUCUCUGUCUCCCUCUCUGUCUCUCUCUGUCUCUCUCUAUCUCUCUCUAUCUCUCUGUCUCUGUCUCUGUCUCUCUCUGUCUCUGUCUCUCUGUCUCUGUCUCUGUCUCUGUCUCUCUGUCUCUGUCUCUCUCUCUGUCUCUCUGUCUCUGUCUCUCUCUCUGUCUCUCUGUCUCUCUCUCUCUCUGUCUCUCUUUGUCUCUCUGUCUCUGCCUCUCUCUCUGUCUCUCUCAUUUGUUGUUUCUUUGAGAUAGGGUUGUAGUCUUGGCUAUCCUGGAGCUCAAUCUGUAGAACAGGCUGGCCUUGAACUCAGAGAUUGAAUGCCUUUGUCUCCCAACUGCUGGGAUUAAAGGGUGCACCACCACUGCCCAGAAGGGAUUGGGUUCUUAUCAUAGACUACAUGGUUAUAUGAGACAAAACAAAGAACAAUAAACAAAAACAGUAGCUCACAAUUGAGGGAUCCCUUUGUACCAGACCUGGGACAAAGUGUUUUGGAUGGUUUAACUCCCUGGUGUAAUGGUCAAACCCUACUGAAGUAAGCGUCAUAUUUCCCCUGUUGUGUACAUGACUGAACUGAAAGUACACCAGGGUUAGGCAGCUAUGAGUUGGUAGAAUUAUGAUUCGAUUGCAGCAGAUUCUUCAGAGUCAGAGCCUGUAAGCAGCCUCUAUACUGUUGCUGAGUUAGUGCUGUGGGUGACGUUACUGCUCUAAGGAGGGACGAAGGAUGUGCAGGCAAUGUGCUCAACAUGUGCAGUCCAGAUGCAUCUUGCAGGAAGGAAGGCAAACAGACCUGAUUCCAGAACCCUCCAGCUGUUUUGUGAGUGCUCUUUUAGGGUGUGGCAGUAAAAAGACUCCAAUUUCCAUUUUAAGUUGACAAACAUAGCCCUCCUUGACAUAUUCUAGUAAAGAAGCUAUUUUUUUUUCAUAGUUUUAACCUGGAAUUUCCCAAACUUAUCUGAACAGGAAAUCAUGUCUCUUUUUUUUUGUGACACAUCUACUAAUGCUUAAUGAACCUUAGGACUGUAGGGAAUCCCAGCCAGUCCCUGAAGUAGUGGCAGCACCGUAGCUGGCAGUGAGCAUUCUGUAAAGCACAGAGGUCUGUGACCAGGCAGCUCAGAUGACAACCACAGAGUCCUAGUUAACCAAGGUUAGGCCGCAGCUGAUGUUUCUAGGCUGCAGGAAGAAGCCAUCCAACAGAAUUGGGUGGUUUGUUUCUCUCCUGCGUUUCCCCCAUCACUGCUCUUGUCUAGACCCUUUACACAUCAAAUCUGAGCUGUCAAAACAGUCUCCCGACUAAUUCCCUGCCUGCUGGUUUUCCCUAGUCCAUCCUCCGCACCUGGUCAGAUCUGUCUUCUUGAAGUGCUGCUUUAAGUGUGCUGCUGUGCUGGCCCAGAUGUAUUAGUUCAGCAUUUGAGUCUGUCCUGGUUAGCCCUGGCCUACCUUCCUCUCUACUGUAGCCUACACUGUAGAUGAAGCGAGUCAUAUCAGAUUCCUCUGUUCAUGCUGCUUCCUCCAGUCAAUUUGAAAAGCUCCCCACUGCUUCUCCUGCUGCUUCUGUCAGAUUCCCAUGUUCUCAUUCUGUUUCUUCUCCACUCAACAGCAGUUACUUUGUGCCUAUAUGCCAAGCACUGUGCUAGGUUAUGACCAGCCCUUGCCUCACAGAGCUAAUCCAAACAAAUAAUAGGAGGUAAUUGCUUGGUUUUGUUCUUAUUUAUUUGUUUAUUCAUGUAUUUGUUUUACUUUUUGUUUUAUCAAGACAGGGUUUCUCUGUGUAACCCUGGCUAUCCUGGAAUUCACUCUGUAGACCAGGCUGGCACAAACUCACAGGUGAGCACUUAAAGGUGUGCGUCACCACUGCCUGGCUUUUUUCUUUUUUAAAGAUUUAUUUAUUAUACUUUUUUGUGUAGGAAUGCUUCACCUGCAUGCAUGUGUUUGCAUCACAGGUGUGCAUGGUGCCUACAGAGGUCAGAACUGGGAAUCAUAACCCCUGAAACUAGAGUACCAGGUGGUUUUGAGCCCCUAAGUGGGUACUAGGAAUUGAACUGUGUCCUCUGCAAGAGCAACAGGUAUUCUUAACCACCAAAUCAUCUCUUCAGCCCUGCUUUGUUUGAAACAGGAUCUAGUGUAGCACAGACUCACUUCAAAAUACCUAAGUGUAGCUUAGGAUGACAUUGAAUUCAGGAUGACACUGUGCAUGAAAUGAUCUUUCAACCUUUACCAACUGAGUGCUGGGCUCACAGACAGGUAGCACCGUGCCUGGUUAGUUACCCAUUUCACAGAAGGGCUGCCUAUUCUUUCUCGGGGUCCAUAGACUGCUUGGAAGAAAGAUUUUGCAUUUUUUUUUUCGGAGCUGGGGACUGAACCCAGGGCCUUGUGCUUGCUAGGCAAGCGCUCUACCACUGAGCUAAAUCCUCAACCCCGGAAGAAAGAUUUUGAAGCCUACAAGAUAAAUGCUAUUGUCACUUGAAAGGCAGAUAGUACGAACUGGCUAAGGGUGGGCUAGGUACAUGGGUUUUACCUGUAGGCUAAACUUAGGAUAUGCUGUUAGAUACACGCACACACACACACAUGCACACACGCACACACACACACACGCACACACACACACACACAUGCACACACGCACACACACACACACGCACACACACGAACACACACACACACGCACACACACGAACACACACACGCACACACACGAACACACACAUGCACACACACAUGCACACACACGAACACACACGCGCACACACGCAUGCACACACGCCUUCAAGGAAAGUCUCUUACUGCCCUGUUGGCCUGGAGAAGACAGGUAAGAGGACAUAUCAGGACAGUGGUGCCUUGGGGGAGGAGAGAUAACGCCUGGCCUUUCCCUGCAUUCUCUUGUUCAGGGACUGCCUCCCUCCUCCCUAACUCCCAGGCUUUUCUAAGAAACACAGUCAGGCAGUUGGUUGCCAGGGCAACCCCAGAAGGCAGUCUCAGUCCAAAAACAGAUGCUGAAGCCCCCUACCUGGAGCCUCAGUGCUUUGCUCUGAUAGACAGCAGGUAGGUGGCCAGUCACUGGAAAGCAACGGAGCAGGGCCAAGAUGUUCGGGUGGGGUUGUGUGGAGGAUGUGGUAGAUAACCUUUGUAAGCACUCAGCAGUGUCCGGAUAGAAGAGCCGACCCACAGAACAGUCCAAGGCAUUUUAAUGCACAGAAAUACUUAACAUGAGCAGCAUAUCUUUGUUUUUCUGAGACACAAACUAAUUUAUUUCAGGCCUCAGGCUUAGUAGCAUGCAAGUGACAACCUGCAGGUCUGAAGCAUGUGUGUGGAUCCGCAGUGCUAAUGAGAUUGUAGACAUGGUGGACUUCUCUUGCAGCUUUUCUGCUGUGUUGAGAUUGUCAGCCAGUAACUCUCCUCCAGUGAGCUGGGCCUGUGAUCUGGGCGGUGGGCACUAAUUAGAGGAGAAGGCAGAAAGCUCGAGCUCCUUGAAGAGAAGCUCGGAGCUGCUGAAAUGGAGGGGUGCUUACCUGGUUCACCACUUCUUUCUUCCUCUGUUCUGUCUGCUCGAAUUGCCCACUGUUCUCCCCACAGCAAGGGAAGCUGUCCGUGUGUAGUCAGAACGCUGGCUUCCAGUUUUUCUUCAAUGGCUUGGGCAAUUUAAGUGCCCUGAGCCUAUUUUUUUUCUAUCAUGAAAUGGAAUGAGUACCAUCUGCCCCAACUAAUCACAGGGUUACUGUCGAAUGCCAUGUAAGGUUAUUUGUUUUAAGUUUUCUGCUGGGCUGGAGAGGUGGCUCAGUGGUUAAGAGCUCCGACUGCUCUUCCAGAGGUCCUGAGUUCAAUUCCUAGCAACCACAUGGUGGUUCACAACCAUCUGUAAUGAGAUCUGGUACCUUCUUCUGGUGUGUCUGAAGACAGCUACAGUGUACUCAUAUAUAAUAAAUAAAUAAAUCUUUAAGUUUUCUGCUAUUUGAUACUGGAUGUCCAGCGGGCCUCACUCCCCACACAGCCAAAGAUGACCUUGAAGUUCUGGUCCUCCUGCUCCCACCUCUCAAUGCUGAGCGUAUGGGCUAUGCCAAGUUUUAAUGUGGUAUCGAGGAUAGAGCCCAGGCUCCGUGCAUGCUAAACAAGAACUCUACCAAGUAAGCUAUAUCCCUGGCCCCGUUUUGGGAUGGUGUCACACCACACGUCAAAGCCGAGUUUCAACUCACAGCAGUCUUUCUACCUCAGCCUCUCAACUCCCGCAGACCAUUGGUGUAACGCCAUGCCUAUAUAGGGUAAUUUAUAAAAGAGUGCUUUAUACAAUGUGAGUAGCAAAAAGGCAGGAGAAGAGGAGGAAGAAGAAGCCACUGUCACCAUGCAGUCAGCAACUGCGUGCUUGUGUUCCAGCCACCAUCUUCUUUAUUCCUGGGAUCUCGCGUUUAUGAAGAUGCUGGUCCACAGAAGCAGUGCACUGUGCGUCUUCCGUUGAGAUCUUUGGCAGCUGUCAGGUGGAUCAGUGGUCACCGUUGUCUCACAAGUUCCUAAACACACUGUAAGCCCCAGGAGAGGGAUGAGUUUUAGUUGUCGCCUCCAAGAUACUGAACACAGGGGCUGGAGAGAUGGCUCAGUGGUGAACAGCACUGGCUGCUCGUCCAGAAGACCUAGGUUUGAUUCUCAGAUUCCCAGUACCUUCCUGGUCACUGACAAACAGCUAUAAUUCCAGUUCCAGAGCAUUUGAUGCCCUCUUCUGGUAAAGGUGCCUGCAUUGUGCCAUGAGCACACACGGCAAUGAUUUUAAAAAAUAGUUUUUAAAGGAAACCUAAGGCUAGAAAUAUCUAGCCCCUCAUUAUUGCUCAAGUUUGAUGUGUCCUCUGCUUUUCUUCGCUUGUUUUGGUUGACCCACUGUCUCACAUAGCUCAGGCUGGACUCAAACUAACUAGGAGCCAAGGAUGACCUUGACCUAAUAAAUAAAUUAUAAAUUAUUUUGUAUGUAUGUGUAAGAGAAAGCACGGUGCAAAAGUCAGAGAAUAAAUUGGAGGGUUCAAACUCAAUCAUCAGGCUGCAGGGAAAGUGCUCUCACCAUUUUGGCUCUAGCCAUUUUGCUAGCCCAAGUUUCAACUUCUAAUUCCCCUGCCUCCUGCCUCCUGGCUCCCAAGUGGUAAGCGUGUGCUACCAUGCCUGUUUUAUAUGAUGCUGGGGCAAAUACUUUACUAACAGCUCUCUAUACUCAACCUGAGAAUGCCCUACAUUUUCCAAAGCAAAGCUCUGGGUGGAAACUAAAUUAUUCUUCUUGGUCUUUGUCAAAAGUCAAGAACCUAUCUAUUCAACUCAGGUUGCUAAUCAGCUAGCGGUUAAGAGCCCUGACUAGGGGAUUUGAUGCUUUCUUCUAACCACCUCCCACCAUGUCCUCUUUUAAAUCUUUUACCUGCUCUAUAAACGUCUCCUCUGUGUAUGUGUGCAUGUGUGCGUGCGUUCGUGCAUGUAUGUGUGUGUGUGUGUGUGUGUGUGUGUAUGUAUAGUCAAUUAUAAAAAAUGCUACCAUUAGCGGACACAACAGCAUACAUCUAUAGUCCUAUCCCUCAGGAAGCUGAGGCAGGAACGUUUCCACAGUUUGUUACCAUCGGGCUUGGGGUACAUAAGAGUUUUAGGCUAGCCAGCUUGGGCUACAGAGGGAGACCCUGUCUGUAAACAAACAAACAAUGGCCAAAACCAACAAGAAAACCCUAAAAUUGUGCCAUUAAAAACCAUAGUGUGCUCUCUAUGAGACUAAAGAGAAUAGCAGGGAAGACUAGAGCUGUAUUUCAAGAGUGACUUUCCUCCAACCUCGAAACAGUUCAUAGUUGUGAGAAAGAGACACUAGAACCUUUAAGGGGAGAAUCCUCUUUCCUAACUUCAGUUGUAUUGGUCCUAGGACCUUGCUUUGGCUUCCUUUCAGCUCUUCAGUCUUGUGGUUUCCAUUGGAAAACUUCAAGCAAGGCAUGCAGAUAGCAGUGCAGGAGACAGUUGGGAUUCAUCACAAGGAGCUAUUUCAUUGUCAGCACUGGAUAUAACUGUAAAACUGAAAAAGAGACCGAGACAUGGUGAUGUAGACUGUAGUCCAUCCACUUGGAAGACUGAGGCAGGAAAAUUCUGAGGGCAAGACAAAAAUAAACUACACAGUGCGAUUCUGACUCAGAAAAUCCAAGCAAGAACAACAACAAAAGCUGAAGUGAGAUCAGGUUUUGGACUGGAGAGAUGGCUCAGAGGUUAAGAGCACUGACUGGUCUUCCAGAGGUCCCGAGUUCAAUGCCCAGCAACCACAUGGUGACUCACAACCAUCUGUAAAGGGGUCCGAUGCCCUCUUCUAGUGUGUCUGGAGACAGCUACAGUGUACUCAUAUUAAAUAAAUUAAAAAAAUAAAAGAAAGAAAGAAAUUAA